GGCCUAACACAUGCAAGUCGAGCGGUAGCACAGAGAGCUUGCUCUCGGGUGACGAGCGGCGGACGGGUGAGUAAUGUCUGGGAAACUGCCUGAUGGAGGGGGAUAACUACUGGAAACGGUAGCUAAUACCGCAUAACGUCGCAAGACCAAAGUGGGGGACCUUCGGGCCUCAUGCCAUCAGAUGUGCCCAGAUGGGAUUAGUUGGUAGGUGGGGUAACGGCUCACCUAGGCGACGAUCCCUAGCUGGUCUGAGAGGAUGUCCAGCCACACUGGAAUUGAGACACGGUCCAGAUUCUUACGGGAGGCACCAGUGGGGAAUAUUGCACAAUGGGCGCAAGCCUGAUGCAGCCAUGCCGCGUGUGUGAAGAAGGCCUUCGGUUUGUAAAGCACUUUCAGCGGGGAGGAAGGCGGUGAGGUUAAUAACCUCAUCGAUUGACGUUACCCGCAGAAGAAGCACCGGCUAACUCCGUGCCAGCAGCCGCGGUAAUACGGAGGGUGCAAGCGUUUAUCGGAAUUACUGGGCGUAAAGCGCACGCGGGCGGUCUGUCAAGUCGGAUGUGAAAUCCCCGGGCUCAACCUGGGAACUGCAUUGGAAACUGGCAGGCUAGAGUCUUGUAGAGGGGGGUAGAAUUCCAGGUGUAGCGGUGAAAUGCGUAGAGAUCUGGAGGAAUACCGGUGGCGAAGGCGGCCCCCUGGACAAAGACUGACGCUCAGGUGCGAAAGCGUGGGGAGCAAACAGGAUUAGAUACCCUGGUAGUCCACGCUGUAAACGAUGUCGAUUUGGAGGUUGUGCCCUGAGGCGUGGCUUCCGGAGCUAACGCGUUAAAUCGACCGCCUGGAGACCCACUGU
rnacentral:rRNA from 1 species